AUGAGAAACUUGUAAUGUUUGGAAUGAUUGCCAAAUGUUGUGUUAGAAGUAUCUCUUAGGCAUACUUGAAUUUGAUGAUAGUCGGAGCAGAGAUCAAUUUUAGAAAAAUACACUGCCCCAUGAACUUUAUCAAGCAUCUCCUGUGAUCGGGAUGAUAUUUGUCUAGAAUAGUGAUUUUAUUGAAAGCAUGAUAGUAGACACAAAAUCGUCUAUCUAUUGUCUUUUUUUUCUGCACAAGCAAAACGAGACUGGUGAAUAGGUUGGAGCUAGGGUAGAUUAUACUGACUGUUAACAUUUCAUUCACCAUUUUCUCAAU
rnacentral:misc_RNA from 1 species